GUGGAUGUAGCUCAGUGGUAGAGUGCAUACUUUGCAUGUAUGAGGCCCCAGGUUCAAUUUACGACUUGACCU